rnacentral:lncRNA from 1 species
AAGGAAGGGGGACUCCAGAGGAAAAACCCUGAUGAAGACACAGUUCUCAGCCUUUAAUGAUUUAUUUUGUCUUAUUAGGGCCGCACCUGCGGCAUAUGGAGGGUAAGCCUUGCAGAUGUGACACUGUUUUAAUCAUGUUGGCUCUUAAAAAUGGAAUUCUGGAGUUCCCUGGUGGCUCAGUGGGUUAAGGAUCUGGCGUUGUCACUGCUGUGGCUCUGGUUACUGCCGUGGUGCGGGUUUGAUCCCUGACCUGGAAACUGACACAUGCUGUGGGUGCGGCCAAAAAAAUGGAGUUCUGAGACAGUUCUCAAUCUUGUGCCUGCUGUUUCAAAGAAAGCCUGGUGUUCAUUACUUAGUUCACUUAUCAGCAAAUCUUGGGUCUGGUGGUGAAGAGGGGCGGAAACUGGGGAGAACACUGGUUCUGGGCUGCCUGGGGAACCUUGGACAGGGAUUUAGCUUCUCUGAGCCUCAUUUUGUUUAUCUGUAGAGGCAGUAAUUGAUCGUGUCAUUGAAAUAAGCAAUGCGAAACUUAAAUCAGACCUGGCACACAGCACACCCUUCCCGAGGGUUAUUAGUCAUUGCCUCUCACUUCCAUAGAGUUCAAGGGUACAGGUGGCUGGAGAUGCCUUCUCCCUUUAUCCAGCAGCCCUGCACAGUAGAUCUUAUCUAGCAUAUUAUGGAUAAGGCAACCCAGAGAAAUUACCAAGCUUGUCCAAGGACACAAGCUAAUAAUAAAUGGUAGAGUUAGAAGACCGUGAUAAAAGACCUCGCCUUUUCUAGUCGAUGCUCUUGCAGGUGGCAAGAGUGGAGAAGAAAUCCAGUUUCUCUGGGGACUUGGGGAGGGAGGUAACUUAAUCAUUAGCAUCUUCCGCUUUAUUUAUUUAUUUAUUUGGCUGUCCUGCAGCAUGCAGAAGUUCUCAGACAAUGGAUCGAACCCAUGCCACUGCAGUGACAAUGCUGGAUCCUUAACCACUAGACCACCAGGGAGCUCUGCAUCUUUCCUUAAAAGCCAGGCUCUUAUAACUCCUCCACGCUGUGCCUCAGAUUCGGAGGGAGACCAGCAAUAUCUGGGGGACCUCACAGCCCUCGGCACCUUGGGGAGGUACCAGGCUGAGGGGUUUCUGUGACUAUCUUAGCAGGAACUUGGUUGCCUUGCCUGGAGUUCUGAAUUAGGAGCCUCAGCCUGAAAACAGACACCCAGGCAAGACUUUCUGAGUCCUCUUGGGAGAGAGCAUCUGUGGUGUGAGUCUCUCCAGGGCUAGUGAGGAAGGUUCUAGAAGACAGGAUUCAAGGCUGCUGCUUUUGAAGAAUGGAAUCAUGAGGGUCUUGGGAAAUAAGUAGUGAGUUCCUGCCCAGUUUUAUGCCUGGUUUUCUCUCUGUCCCAUGGAAAUGAAAAGGUCACCAUUGGCUGCCUGCUGCUUGAGCCCAGCCCGCACCUGUUGGUGGCCUGCAAGGGGCCUGCUCUGAAUGCACAAAGGGAGGCUGGGGAGGAAGCCUGACCUUGGCUCGGGGAGGCCUCGGGAGAUAAAGCUCAGACAAGGGAUCGGGAGCCUGCGCAGCUUCCAUGGCUGAUUGCCAGCCGGGACAGUGGGCUGAGCCCAUGUUUGCUGCAGCCCCUGUGCUUGUCCAAAGACUUUAUCAGAGAAGGGAGGGCACACAGCCUGUAGGCUCACCCAUCACUGUGCCCUUUAUAACCUGGAGCGUCUCCCUCUCUGUUACCUGAGAAAAAGCUGCCCCCCUCCCCGCCCCCUGACACAGAGGGCUCCUGGAAGCCCAGCCCCGCAGGUGAGUGGCUCAGAGAUUGGGUGGUGGUGGGGGGGGAUCAGAAGGCAGGGAGGGUAGUGCAGAUGGGAGGGGAAGGUGGAAGUAAGUGUGACCGAGAUGAAGGGGUCUCCUGGGACGUGGGAUUUGGGGGCUAAAAUGGGAAAGCCCCAGGCAAAUCGGGACCAGUUGGUCACCCUAGUCAGGCAGAGUCCUGCCACCCUGGCUGUGGCACUGGGCAGGCUGGGUCAUGAUGGACCUGUAAGAGGGGGCCCCUUGAGGCUCAGUGCCCCCUCAGACUUGAUUGCAUGAAGAAUCCGUGACUCUGCUGUCCCCCAAGUCUGUGAGCACAGGAUGGCAGAAACCACCCUAUCCUCGGGCCAGCUCCUGCCUGUCCCCAAGCACAGAACAUUUAGUAAACGCUGGAGGAUGAAGGAAUGAGGGGUGAGGGCCUCUGCCAAAUUACUCAGGUGCUGGUUCAUGCUUUGCUACUUUGCACAUGCUGUUCCCUCUCCUACAUGCCCUUCCCUGCCUUGACAGUCCCUGACCACACGUGUCCCCUCUGAGCCAAACCUUAACUCCCUGACGGGCUUGCUCUGUUCAUGCUUCUGCCCCCUGCCCCCGGCGGUGACCCCCUCCAGGGAAGGUCCCAGCUUAGUAUUUGCUCUGCUGCCCUUGGCGCCUGGAGGUGCCGUAAAGCUUUCUUGAGCAGAUGAAUGGCGCUGACUGCAUAGAGCAAAGAGUCAUUCACUCGCCAACUUCUGGCCGAGGGCCUGCUGCAGGCUAGGCACUGUCCUAGGCACAGGGGCAGGAGCAGUGGAUAUGACUAACAAAAUCUUUGCUCUGAUAGAACUUACAUUCUAGACGGUUCUAGAAGCAUCUAGAUCCAAUGAACAAGCAAUAAGUCAACAGACCGUAUCAGAAGGUCCAGUGCGCUGAAGGCGAUGCAAAGGAGAAGGCAGGCGUCCGAGUCCUUGCCAGGUGCUGGCAGGCCGAGGCGGAGGCCACAGCUCCCUGGAGGGGAAGUGAUUCAGGCCCAGCACAUGUGGCUCCCUUCCCCUGGACGCAGCCAGCACAUACCUUCCCCUGGGUGGUGGCAGCCCCGCUGUUGAGUGUGGCCAACUCGGGGAGGGUGGCAUUUGCCUGUCGUGCAAAGUCCCUGCGAGGAAAUCCAUUAAAGCCAGUAUUGUGCAAGAGAAGGCAGAAAACACAUUUUUGAAGGUCACGUGGUGUUGGUGCCUGGUGUGGGAGGCCCAGGGUGUGUCUGCACCCCAGGCCCCCUGGGACCAGAUUGCAAAGAAUGGGGCUCACGUGCUGGCUGCCCCUCUCCCCCAGUGGGUGGGUGACCUUGCCAGGCAGUAGCAGGAAGGCUCGGGCUCCCCUAAGUGAUGGCUGGGGAGCCCAGGUCCCUCCAGGGGGAAAGGGAUACGCCCCCCUGCCAUUAGGUCAAGGGGGAGAAGGAGGGUGACAGUGCUGGUCAGCUUCCAGGCUGCACGCAACAGUGGGGUAUUGUCCACUGUGACUGACGGGGAGCUCACCCCCAGACACAGGCCCUUUGGGGAGGGAUGGGGUAGCAUCCAGCAGGGCCAGGUGCCCUGUGCCCAGAAAACAUGCUGCUCCCCAGAGCCCCACACGGCUUCUCUUUGCUGCCUGAAUGCAGGUGGCCCCUGGUGCUGAGGCCCAGGGGGCUCGAGGAGGCACCUCUGCAUCUGUAAAGGACAUGGCUCACCCCUGCUGGUGACACCGUCAUGUUGCCACCCCUGGAGAGCCAGGAACAAGUCAGUCCCCAGGCCGGUGCCCUUGGCUUCACACAGGCACAUCGUAAACCUGGCGUCUCGAAGCCCUGGCAGGAACGGGCAUGUGCUAAUUAUAAUCUACACGGCCUGUUAACCAUUGACCUCGGACUCCAAGGAGGCGAAGGCUCCAGGGGGGAGGCCUUAGGGGUGCUCUGAGGCCUCCAGAUACAAGGCAGGGCCUUCUGUGACUCAGAGGAUGGGCUCUUGGGUAGCUCGGUGGACGCUACUUGCAGCUUUGACAGAAGGGAGAUGGUUUUGCUCCCCUUGGACUCUGCCGGGGGCGCCCCUUGGACUCUGCCCGGGGACUGUUGGGAGACAAGUCAGCAGGAUUACCUUCCAUGUGACCUCAGGCAGGUCACGUAACCACUUUGGACCUUGACUUCUUCACCUAUAAAAAGAAGGCCGGAGUUCCCUUCGUGGCUCAGUGGAAACAAAUCUGACUAGUAUCCAUGAGGACACAGGUUCGAUCUCUGGCCUCGCUCAGUGGGUUAGGAAUCUGGCAUUGCUGCAAGCUGUGGUGUAGAUCACAGAAGCGGCUCGGAUCCCCAGUUGCCGUGGCUGUGGUAUAGGCCAGUGGCUACUGCUCUGAUUUGACCCCUAGCCUGAGAAUCUUUAUAUGCUGUGGGUGCAGCCCUAAAAGACAGGGAAAAAAAAGAAGGCAAUCAUUUCUAUUUUAAUUGGAAAAGGGAGACCUCAAUAAGGUAGUGUGUGUAAGCACCUAAUACAGGAACUGACACCUAGUAGGUGCUUAAAAAUGUUGGUUCCUAGUCAUUACCCCCCUGAAAAAUCCUGGAGGGCUUCCUGGAGGCGGUGAUGCUAGCACUGAUGAGUGAAUGCAGGCAGGCAAAGAAGAGCAUUGAGGGGAGAAGCCACUUGGUGUGUACUGGGAGCCCUGGGGAGGUCUGGCUCAGGAAGAAGAGGUGGGAAGAGGUGGGAGGUAAACCUGCAGAGGUGGGUGGAGAAGGACAGCCACUGCCCCAGUACGCUUUGUGGACUUUCUCAGGGGCAGGCCAUGGAGCUGUGGAGGGAUUGAGUCACAAGGACCUUUGACUCUGAACCUAACUGCCCCUUUCUUCCAAAGAGAGAGGACUCCGGUCUCUGCCUACUGUGAGACCGGAGGCAAGUUGAAGCUCGCUGGUGCCCGCGACCCUGGACCCGGGCGUGGAUUUGGCUCUGCGGGGCCGCGGGUCUCCCCAGCGGUUCAGCAAGCGCAGCGCCGGAAACUCACUUGCUCCCCACACUCCCAUUUGGAACAAACCCUGCCUGCCUUAGACUGUUCUCACUGCUGGGGUUCAUUUAUUUAAUAAGAGUAGGGUUCGACUUGUUCUGUGUCCUUAGAUAAACCAAACCUGAAAACCACGGGAGCGCUUUUUUUUUUUUUUUAAGCUGGGAAGUAAAGUGUGCUGGGUUUUCUAGUCUGUCUUAUUCCAGCCAUGACACAGACCCUGGGUCGGCAAGAUCUGGCUUCGGUGGGUCUGAGAGGCCCGUCUUUGUAUCGAGGGCCUGGUGUACGCCAGGCUCCCUGCCAGGCCCUUGCAUGCUUCUUGGUGCCAUUGGUAUCCUCACUUUACAAACAAGGAAACUGAGGAACAGAGAGGUUAAUACACUUGCUCAGGGUCACAUAGCUAUUCGAUGGAGAAGCCAGAUUCAGUCCCACACUGGCUAUACUUCACAGACUACCUUUUCUUUAGAGCGUAAUGUGAAAGCUGGGCUUCCUAAUUUUAAAAUCUAAUGGAACUGUGAAAUCUCUUCAUUUGUUAUUGGAAUGUAUGCAGUUUUAAAGUCCUCUAAUUUUUUUGUUAAUUGCCACUACCACCUUAAAGAAACUGACAUUUAAGAAAUGUACCUAUGGGAGUUCCCACUGUGGCUUAGUGGGUUAAGAGCCUGACUAGUAUCCAUGAGGAUGCGGGUUUGAUCCUUGGCCUUGCUCAGUGGGUUAAGGAUCCUGUGUUGCCAUAAGCUGCGGUGGAGGUCACAGACAUGGCUCUGAUCCUGCUUUGCUGUGUCUGUGAUGUCAGCUGGCAGCUGCAAUGCUGAUUCGACCUCUAGCCUGGGAACUUCCGUGUGCUGUAGGUGCAGCCCUAAAAAGAAAAGAAAAGAAAGGAAAAGAAAAGAAAAGAAAAGAAAAGAAAGGAAAAGAAAAGAAAAGAAAAGAAAAGAAAAGAAAA